rnacentral:rRNA from 3 species
GGACUACUGGGGUAUCUAAUCCCGUUUGCUCCCCUGGCUUUCGCGCCUCAGCGUCAGAAGAGGUCCAGCGCGCCGCUUUCGCCACCGGUGUUCCUUCCGAUAUCUACGCAUUUCACCGCUCCACCGGAAGUUCCGCACGCCCCUACCUCCCUCGAGGCCCGCAGUAUCAGAGGCACUGCCACGGUUGAGCCGUGGGAUUUCACCCCUGACUGGCGGGCCCGCCUACGCGCCCUUUAAGCCCAGUGAUUCCGAACAACGUUCGCACGGUUCGUCUUACCGCGGCUGCUGGCAC